rnacentral:rRNA from 1 species
UACGAAGGGGGCUAGCGUUGCUCGGAAUCACUGGGCGUAAAGCGCACGUAGGCGGAUCUUUAAGUCAGGGGUGAAAUCCUGGAGCUCAACUCCAGAACUGCCUUUGAUACUGGGGAUCUCGAGUCCGGAAGAGGUGAGUGGAACUCCGAGUGUAGAGGUGAAAUUCGUAGAUAUUCGCAAGAACACCAGUGGCGAAGGCGGCUCACUGGCCCGAUACUAACGCUGAGGCACGAAAGCGUGGGGAGCAAACAGG